AAGUCAACUAGGAAUCAUCAUCAUCAUCGUAUCUUCCCUCACUAGUGUGCUGAGAAUCAACAGUUCAGGUUACAAAGUUGCACAAAUACAGUGAAUAUCUCACCCUGGGACUUGUCUAUGUGACUAUCUGCAUUCACUCCAGGAAUGUUGGGCUAUGAAGAAAGAGGCCAUCAAACCAGCUGCAGAACAAAUGACUUUUUCCAACAGCCUUGAGCUAUGCAGCUGCAGUCUGUGGUAAGCUUUGUGAGGGGAAGAGGCCAGUUUGGCCUGGAAAUCAAGACAAGGCGUUUAAAGGUCGACUUCAGUGUCCGUCCUUAGAGAACGUCCUGCAAGUCACACCUCACGUCCCUGCCCCAGCCUCCAGCCCUUUCUCUGGUCUCUGGUCACCUCUUUUCUCCAUAGCCAGCGUAGAGCCAGCAGGUCAGAUAAAUAGAGCCUAC